GCUUGCUUAGCUCAGUUGGUUAGAGCGUGGUGCUAAUAACGCCAAGGUCACAGGUUCGACCCCUGUAGUGAGCA
rfam:Smittium culicis strain GSMNP scaffold-1324, whole genome shotgun sequence.